rnacentral:rRNA from 1 species
GCAAGUCGAACGGCAGCACGGACUUCGGUCUGGUGGCGAGUGGCGAACGGGUGAGUAAUGUAUCGGAACGUGCCUAGUAGCGGGGGAUAACUACGCGAAAGCGUAGCUAAUACCGCAUACGCCCUUCGGGGGAAAGCAGGGGAUCGCAAGACCUUGCACUAUUAGAGCGGCCGAUAUCGGAUUAGCUAGUUGGUGGGGUAACGGCUCACCAAGGCGACGAUCCGUAGCUGGUUUGAGAGGACGACCAGCCACACUGGGACUGAGACACGGCCCAGACUCCUACGGGAGGCAGCAGUGGGGAAUUUUGGACAAUGGGGGCAACCCUGAUCCAGCCAUCCCGCGUGUGCGAUGAAGGCCUUCGGGUUGUAAAGCACUUUUGGCAGGAAAGAAACGUCGCGGGUUAAUACCCCGCGGAACUGACGGUACCUGCAGAAUAAGCACCGGCUAACUACGUGCCAGCAGCCGCGGUAAUACGUAGGGUGCAAGCGUUAAUCGGAAUUACUGGGCGUAAAGCGUGCGCAGGCGGUUCGGAAAGAAAGAUGUGAAAUCCCAGAGCUUAACUUUGGAACUGCAUUUUUAACUACCGGGCUAGAGUGUGUCAGAGGGAGGUGGAAUUCCGCGUGUAGCAGUGAAAUGCGUAGAUAUGCGGAGGAACACCGAUGGCGAAGGCAGCCUCCUGGGAUAACACUGACGCUCAUGCACGAAAGCGUGGGAGCAAACAGGAUUAGAUACCCUGGUAGUCCACGCCCUAAACGAUGUCAACUAGCUGUUGGGGCCUUCGGGCCUUGGUAGCGCAGCUAACGCGUGAAGUUGACCGCCUGGGGAGUACGGUCGCAAGAUUAAAACUCAAAGGAAUUGACGGGGACCCGCACAAGCGGUGGAUGAUGUGGAUUAAUUCGAUGCAACGCGAAAAACCUUACCUACCCUUGACAUGUCUGGAAUG